GCAUCGAUGAAGAACGCAGCGAAUUGCGAUAAGUAAUGUGAAUUGCAGAUACUCGUGAAUCAUUGAAUUUUUGAACGCACAUUGCGCCCUUGAGCAUUCUCAGGGGCAUGCCUGUUUGAGCGUCAUUUCCUUCUCAAAAGAUAAUUUAUUAUUUUUUGGUUGUGGGCGAUACUCAGGGUUAGCUUGAAAUUGGAGACUGUUUCAGUCUUUUUUAAUUCAACACUUAGCUUCUUUGGAGACGCUGUUCUCGCUGUGAUGUAUUUAUGGAUUUAUUCGUUUUACUUUACAAGGGAAAUGGUAACGUACCUUAGGCAAAGGGUUGCUUUUAAUAUUCAUCAAGUUUGACCUCAAAUCAGGUAGGAUUACCCGCUGAACUUAAGCAUAUCAAUAAGCGGAGGA
rnacentral:rRNA from 1 species